UGUAACAGCUGCUGAGUCUCUGAUUGGGUAUGAAGCCCUAACUCUGACUCCCACUACGCUAGUUCAAACAGAAUUAAGUCAGCAGAGCCACCACACAAACUCUCCUUUUAAAUUGAGCUACAAGGACUCCACAAUCAUAAAGCAGCCAAGAAAACCAGGAAUUUUGAAGAAAGUCAAGAAAAUUACUGAAGGCCAAGAAAUUAAGCCUAGUGGACAAUUCACCUAGCAUAAGAAGCAUGGUGGACUAUAAAGACAUUGAUCACUGAAGUUAUGUAUACAUGCAGAAAAGAGAGUCAGAAAGCAUAUAUUAAAUAAAAGAGAAAACCAAAA